rnacentral:rRNA from 1 species
AACGAACGCUGGCGGCAUGCCUAACACAUGCAAGUCGAACGAACCCUUCGGGGUUAGUGGCGCACGGGUGCGUAACGCGUGGGAAUCUGCCCUUGGCUUCGGAAUAACAGUUAGAAAUGACUGCUAAUACCGGAUGAUGACGUAAGUCCAAAGAUUUAUCGCCCAAGGAUGAGCCCGCGUAGGAUUAGCUAGUUGGUGGGGUAAAGGCCUACCAAGGCGACGAUCCUUAGCUGGUCUGAGAGGAUGAUCAGCCACACUGGGACUGAGACACGGCCCAGACUCCUACGGGAGGCAGCAGUAGGGAAUAUUGGACAAUGGGCGCAAGCCUGAUCCAGCAAUGCCGCGUGAGUGAUGAAGGCCUUAGGGUUGUAAAGCUCUUUUACCCGAGAUGAUAAUGACAGUAUCGGGAGAAUAAGCUCCGGCUAACUCCGUGCCAGCCGCCGCAGUAACAC